GUGGGGAAUAUUGGACAAUGGGCGAAAGCCUGAUCCAGCCAUGCCGCGUGUGUGAAGAAGGUCUUCGGAUUGUAAAGCACUUUAAGAUGGGAGGAAGGGCAGUAAGUUAAUACCUUGCUGUUUUGACGUUACCGACAGAAUAAGCACCGGCUAACUUCGUGCCAGCAGCCGCGGUAAUACGAAGGGUGCAAGCGUUAAUCGUAAUUACUGGGCGUAAAGCGCGCGUCGGUGGUUUUGUAAGUUGGAGGUGAAAUCCCCGGGCUCAACCUGGGAACUGCCUCCAAAACUGCAAGAAUAGAGUACGGUAGAGGGUAGUGGAAUUUCCUGUGUAGCGGUGAAAUGCGUAGAUAUAGGAAGGAACACCAGUGGCGAAAGCGACUACCUGGACUGAUACUGACACUGAGGUGCGAAAGCGUGGGGAGCAAACAGGAUUAGAAACCCUUGUAGUCC
rnacentral:rRNA from 1 species